rnacentral:rRNA from 1 species
GGGGGGGGGGGGGGGGGGGGGGGGGGCGGGGGGGGGGGGCGGGGGGGGCGGGGGGGGGGGGGGGGCUCGGGUGGCGGGCGGGUGAGUAACACGUGGGUAACCUGCCCUUGGCUUUGGGGUAACUUCCGGCGACUGGGGCUCAUACCGGAUAGGGGCGCCUGCUGCAUGGUGGGGGUUGGAAAGGUUCGGCGGUGGGGGAUGGACUCGCGGCUUAUCAGCGUGUUGGUGGGGUAGUGGCUUACCCAGGCUUUGACGGGUAGCCGGCCGGAGAGGGUGACCGGCCACAUUGGGACUGAGAUACGGCCCAGACUCCUACGGGAGGCAGCAGUGGGGAAUAUUGCACAAUGGGCGGAAGCCUGAUGCAGCAACGCCGCGUGCGGGAUGACGGCCUUCGGGGUGUAAACCGCUUUCGCCGGUGACGAAGCGUGGGUGACGGUAAUGGGUAAAGAAGCACCGGCUAACUACGUG